rnacentral:rRNA from 1 species
GUUGGUGCUUAUAGCAGUGGGGGUACACCUGAUCCAUUUCGAACUCAGAAGUUAAGUCCACUAGCGGCGAUGGUAUUGCAGCGGCAACUCUGUGAGAGAGUAGCACGGUGCCAACA